GCUUUGUUUAUUGGAUAUGAAUAAAUGCAAGAAUGAAAUAACAAUUAGUUUAUUCAUAAAACAAUGUGUGUAUUACAAACAACGAGACUUUGGAAGAAUUAGGAUACCAAUCCCAACAAUCUGGCUAUAAUUUCUGAUGGUAUAAAAAAGAUUAGAGGUACUGCUCAUUUUUGGACUCUUUCUCCAAAAAGGAAGGAAAAUUUUGAAGAAGGAGUUUGUCAAUUACAAAUUUCAUGCACUAAAAAACUGUCUUGAUUGUGUAACAAGAUGGAAUUCAACAUUCGUGAUGCUCAAAAAUGCUUUGGAAUACAAGAAUGUUUUUCCUCAUCUAAAAUAACGUGAACCACUAUACAUUUGUCUUCCUCAGAGACUGAUUGGAAUUUUGCAAAAGAAAUGUAUGAUAGAUUAGAAUCCUUUUACUUGAUGACUGAGUUAUUUUCUAGGUCAAGUUAUCCAACCUUCGAUGUCUUUUUUUGAAGAAGUUUGUGAAAUUAGGUUGGAACUUUCUAAGUGGCUUAGUUUUGAUGUUGAGGAGAUACAAGAAAUGGCAUCAAGAAUGAUUGCUAAGUUUGAAAAAUAUUGGAGUGUGAUUCAUGGUGUAUUGGCAAUAGCUACAGUAUUAGAUCCUAGGUUUAAGAUGAGAUUGAUCCAGUUUUAUUUUCCUAAAAUCUAUGGAUCUCAUCAUACUGUUGAAAUUAAACAUGUUAGAGAUAUGUGUUGUGAUUUGAUGAAGUUUUAUAAUUCGAAUUCAAGUACAUUAGAAGAACCUCAACGUCCUACAUCUACAAUUAGUACUUCUUCGAUUUCCAAGCGAGAUGGAAGUAGUGACCGUUCCCAAAUUCAUGAAAACUUAUUAGAAGCUUUGAUGUAUACUCAAGAUUGGCUAUGGUUGAAGAUAAGCAUACUCUUAUAGAUGCUAAAGUUUUGGAAAAUGUUUUUGAGGAUUAAGAUCCAAAUGAUGAAUCAUCUUUGACAAAGUUGGAUGAAAUUUUCUAAUGACUUGAUUUGGCUAUUUUGUAGCUUUUCUUUAAAAUAUAUGUUGUGUCUUGACUUCUGAUUUGUGAACCUUUUUAUGUAAUUGAAAACUCUAUUAACUUUGUU